rnacentral:rRNA from 1 species
CCUACGGGUGGCAGCAGUGGGGAAUAUUGGACAAUGGGGGCAACCCUGAUCCAGCCAUGCCGCGUGUGUGAAGAAGGCCCUCGGGUUGUAAAGCACUUUCAGUGAGGAAGAACGCCUGGUGGUUAAUACCCAUCAGGAAAGACAUCACUCACAGAAGAAGCACCGGCUAACUCCGUGCCAGCAGCCGCGGUAAUACGGAGGGUGCGAGCGUUAAUCGGAAUUACUGGGCGUAAAGCGCGCGUAGGUGGCUUGAUAAGCCGGUUGUGAAAGCCCCGGGCUCAACCUGGGAACGGCAUCCGGAACUGUCAAGCUAGAGUGCAGGAGAGGAAGGUAGAAUUCCCGGUGUAGCGGUGAAAUGCGUAGAGAUCGGGAGGAAUACCAGUGGCGAAGGCGGCCUUCUGGACUGACACUGACACUGAGGUGCGAAAGCUUGGGUAGCAAACAGGAUUAGAUACCCGAGUAGUC